ACCCAUGCAUAAUAGAGGACUUAAGACCCUAUAAAUUGUGCAUUAAUGUUAAUUAGUAUUCAACUUUCAUCCAAGUUAUCCAACCAAAAAUCUGAAGAGGGUAUAAGUGAAAAUAUGGGUGGAACUUGUGUGAGAAGAAGUGUGUUGCUGAUGAUGACUAUGAAUAUUGUAGUACUUGUAGUGCAGGCUGAUGAUCCUCCUGCUCCCUCUCUCCUUCCGUUCUCUUCCGUUUUAACUGUGCCUCACUUUCCCUCUCCCUACUCCCAACAAGAUCAUACCCAUGAUUGGAUCGAUUGUUUUUUUAAGUGGCUCGGGCAUUGCAUUGUAAUCACAAGUCCCCCCAAGGUGUUAAGAAAAAUAACAUUGGGGUGGGGUAUGUACAGAGGUUGUGUGCAUCUCAUAAAAAAACUCUGCAAAGUUCCCUUAGGUCUAGAUCAUAUUGCCUAUCGUUGUGCUGUUAAUCGUCUCAGAUUCCCAAGCAAAGCUGUUGGUUUUGAAACAGGGAAAACAAAAGAUUACGUGGAAACGAGCUUCAACAAUUGCAACAAGAAUUACUAGCUACCUUUUUCUCAAAGUUAUUUACUUUUAUGUAGUGAAAAAAUCAAUGCUUAUAUGGAAAAAUUAAAGGGCUAUUAGCCUAUGUCACGUGAGUAUAAUGUGAUUAUGAUGUGAAAAAUAACAUUUCUGCUUUGUUAAUGAAAGACCUUCAAUUUUUAUCA